rnacentral:rRNA from 1 species
AACGUAGGAGACAAACGUUAUCCGGAGUUACUGGGCGUAAAGGGCGUGUAGGUGGUUUCGUAAGUCUGGCGUGAAAUUUUUCGGCUUAACCGGGAAAGGUCGUCGGAUACUGCGGAACUAGAGGACGGUAGAGGCGUGUGGAAUUCCGGGUGUAGUGGUGAAAUGCGUAGAGAUCCGGAGGAAUACCGAUGGCGAAGGCAGCCCCCUGGGAUAACACUGACGCUCAUGCACGAAAGCGUGGGGAGCAAACAGG